rnacentral:rRNA from 1 species
UGGGGAAUAUUGGACAAUGGGCGAAAGCCUGAUCCAGCCAUGCCGCGUGAGUGACGAAGGCCUUAGGGUUGUAAAGCUCUUUUGGCGGGGAAGAUAAUGACGGUACCCGCAGAAUGAGCUCCGGCUAACUUCGUGCCAGCAGCCGCGGUAAUACGAAGGGAGCUAGCGUUGUUCGGAAUCACUGGGCGUAAAGCGCACGUAGGUGGGCAGUUAAGUCAGGGGUGAAAGCCCGAGGCUCAACCUCGGAAUUGCCUCUGAUACUGGCUGUCUAGAGUUCGAGAGAGGUGAGUGGAAUUCCUAGUGUAGAGGUGAAAUUCGUAGAUAUUAGGAAGAACACCGGUGGCGAAGGCGGCUCACUGGCUCGAUACUGACACUGAGGUGCGAAAGCGUGGGGAGCAAACAGGAUUAGAUACCCACGUAGUCCCUGAGCGGGCUGGCAAGGCGCAU